UACAGAGGUCUCAAGCGUUGUUCGGAUUCAUUGGGCGUACAGGGUGCGUAGGCGGCGCGGUAAGUCGGGUGUGAAAUCUCGGAGCUUAACUCCGAAACUGCAUUCGAUACUGCCGUGCUUGAGGACUGGAGAGGAGACUGGAAUUUACGGUGUAGCGGUGAAAUGCGUAGAUAUCGUAAGGAAGACCAGUGGCGAAGGCGGGUCUCUGGACAGUUCCUGACGCUGAAGCACGAAGGCCAGGGGAGCAAACGGG
rnacentral:rRNA from 1 species